CAGCAGCCGCGGUAAUACGUAGGGUGCAAGCGUUGUCCGGAAUUAUUGGGCGUAAAGAGCUCGUAGGCGGUCUGUUACGUCGGCUGUGAAAACCUGGGGCUCAACUCCGGGCCUGCAACCGAUACGGGCAGACUAGAGUUCGGCAGGGGAGACUGGAAUUCCUGGUGUAGCGGUGAAAUGCGCAGAUAUCAGGAGGAACACCGGUGGCGAAGGCGGGUCUCUGGGCAGUAACUGACGCUGAGGAGCGAAAGCGUGGGGAGCGAACAGGAUUAGAUACCCUGGUAGUCCACGCCGUAAACGUUGGGCGCUAGGUGUGGGGCUCAUUCCACGAGUUCCGUGCCGCAGCUAACGCAUUAAGCGCCCCGCCUGGGGAGUACGGCCGCAAGGCUAAAACUCAAAGGAAUUGACGG
rnacentral:rRNA from 1 species